AUUGAACGCUGGCGGCAUGCUUUACACAUGCAAGUCGAGCGGCAGCGCGGGGGCAACCCUGGCGGCGAGCGGCGAACGGGUGAGUAAUGCAUCGGAACGUAUCCUCUUGUGGGGGAUAACCCACCGAAAGGUGGGCUAAUACCGCAUAAGCUCUGAGGAGGAAAGCGGGGGACCGAAAGGCCUCGCGCUGGAGGAGCGGCCGAUGUCCGAUUAGCUAGUUGGUGAGGUAAAGGCUCACCAAGGCGACGAUCGGUAGCUGGUCUGAGAGGAUGAUCAGCCACACUGGGACUGAGACACGGCCCAGACUCCUACGGGAGGCAGCAGUGGGGAAUUUUGGACAAUGGGGGCAACCCUGAUCCAGCCAUGCCGCGUGAGUGAAGAAGGCCUCGGUUGUAAGCGUACUUUCUAGACGGAACGAAACGGUAGGUCCCGUAA
rnacentral:rRNA from 1 species